rnacentral:rRNA from 1 species
GUGGGGAAUAUUGGGCAAUGGGGGAAACCCUGACCCAGCAACGCCGCGUGAGUGAAGAAGGCCUUCGGGUUGUAAAGCUCUGUCAUUAGGGAAGAAGAAGUGACGGUACCUAAUGAGGAAGCCCCGGCUAACUACGUGCCAGCAGCCGCGGUAAUACGUAGGGGGCGAGCGUUGUCCGGAAUUACUGGGCGUAAAGGGUGCGUAGGCGGCGUGUUAAGUUGGAUGUGAAAUACCCGGGCUUAACCUGGGGGGUGCAUUCGAUACUGGCAGGCUAGAGUGCAGGAGAGGGAAGCGGAAUUCCUAGUGUAGCGGUGAAAUGCGUAGAUAUUAGGAGGAACACCAGUGGCGAAGGCGGCUUUCUGGACUGUAACUGACGCUGAUGCACGAAAGCGUGGGGAGCAAACAGGAUUAGAUACCCGAGUAGUCC